rnacentral:rRNA from 1 species
CCUACGGGUGGCAGCAGUAGGGAAUAUUGCGCAAUGGGGGAAACCCUGACGCAGCAACGCCGCGUGAACGAUGAAGUUUUUCGGAUUGUAAACUCCUUUUAUUGGAGAAGAUAAUGACAUUAUAUAACGAAUAAGGACCGGCUAACUGCGAGCCAGCAGCCACGGUCAUACGUAAGGUGCAAGCGGUACCCGGAAUCCAUGGGCGUAAAGAGCGCGUAGGCGGGAUAUCAAUUCAGUUGGUAAAUCUUAUGGCUUAACCAUAGAACUGCAUUUGAUAAUGUUAUCCUAGAGUAUGGGAGAGGUAGGUGGAAUUAUUGGUGUAGGGGUAAAAUCCGUAGAGAUCAAGAGGAAUACUCAUUGCGAAGGCGACCUGCUAGAACAUAACUGACGCUGAUGCGCGAAAGCGUGGGGAGCAAACAGGAUUAGAUACCCUGGUAGUC